rnacentral:rRNA from 1 species
GAUGAACGCUAGCUACAGGCUUAACACAUGCAAGUCGAGGGCAGCAUGAACUUAGCUUGCUAAGUUUGAUGGCGACCGGCGCACGGGUGAGUAACACGUAUCCAACCUUCCGUUUACUCAGGGAUAGCCUUUCGAAAGAAAGAUUAAUACCCGAUGGCAUAGUUCUUCCGCAUGGUAGAACUAUUAAAGAAUUUCGGUCAUCGAUGGGGAUGCGUUCCAUUAGGUUGUUGGCGGGGUAACGGCCCACCAAGCCUUCGAUGGAUAGGGGUUCUGAGAGGAAGGUCCCCCACAUUGGAACUGAGACACGGUCCAAACUCCUACGGGAGGCAGCAGUGAGGAAUAUUGGUCAAUGGACGAGAGUCUGAACCAGCCAAGUAGCGUGAAGGAUGACUGCCCUAUGGGUUGUAAACUUCUUUUAUACGGGAAUAAAGUGAGGCAUGUGUGCCUUUUUGUAUGUACCGUAUGAAUAAGGAUCGGCUAACUCCGUG